AUCUGAGUAGGCAGAGGCAGAUCCAGCACAGGGCAAUCAAGACGUGCCCCAGAUGCUGAUAUCCUAAAAGAGAUGACCAAAUGGCAUUCCCAAGAUGAUUGUAUCCAGCCUUGGAAGCAACCUUGGGAGCUCAAGAGUUCUGGAGAUCCUGGGUCCUUUGUUUGGAGCCGACUUGCAGCUGAGGGGAGUUUCUGCAUCAGAGAGGUUAACUACCAACGGGGUCUUGUGCAAGAACAACCAGAAGACAAAUAGAGUGCCCUGUCUCAGACUCCUGGGGACAACAAUAGCUUGGCAGGCUUGGCAUUCGACGUCCUCCACAGCAUUGCCUGAGCCUACCUCUCUAGCCUCAUCUGAGAGAGAAGAUGGGGAAAGAGGAGGAGAAGGAAGAGAAGAAAGAAGACAAGGAGGUGAUUGGGAGGAUUUCAUUCUACCUGAAUGAAUUUCCUCCUGGUGCCAGAUGCCAUAGAGCACUCAAAAGAAGUGUUCUUCCCAAGAAGCGUCCUCCUCUGUGGCAAAACUUUUGUUGUUCAGCGACUUCCACAAGGCUCAUUCCUGCUCCGUGCCUUGGUCAAGCUUCCCUUUCUGUAUGGGAUCCCCUUCACUUUCCAAAUCUUCCCCAUUCUUCAAGGCUCCCCCUCUUCCAGGAAGCCUUCCUCUACUGCCUAAAAUACUGCCUCCCCUGCCUCCCAGACUUAGGAGUGUGGAUAAGUCCUUGCUUCUUUCUGGGCCUCAUUUUUCCCAGGUGAAAAAUGAAGGAGUUGUAUUAUAUGAUCUCCAGCUCCAGAAUUCUUUGUUUUAACUCCCUAGCUCUGACUUUUUUAUGUUCUAAAAUCCCUUUAAGUGGUGACAUUCUAUGUUUUAUGGACUCUCCCACCUCUGCCAUUUUAUAGUCUAAGGCAGGAGUUCUUAACCUGGGGUCCAUUAACUUUGAAAAAUGUUUUUUGAUAAUAAUA